rnacentral:rRNA from 1 species
GACGAACGCUGGCGGCGUGCUUAACACAUGCAAGUCGAACGGGAAGGCCCUGCUUGCAGGGUACUCGAGUGGCGAACGGGUGAGUAACACGUGGGUGAUCUGCCCUGCACUUCGGGAUAAGCCUGGGAAACUGGGUCUAAUACCGGAUAGGAGCCAUUUUUAGUGUGAUGGUUGGAAAGUUUUUUCGGUGUAGGAUGAGCUUGCGUCCUGUGAGCUUGUUGGUGGGGUAAUGGCCUACCGAGGCGGCGACGGGUAGCCGGCCUGAGAGGGUGGGUGGCAACAUUGGGACGUGGAUACGGAGCAGACUCCUACGGGAGGCAGCAGUGGGGAAUAUUGCACAAGGGGCGCAAGCCUGAUGCAGCGACGCCGCGUGGGGGAUGACGGCCUUCGGGUUGUAAACUCCUUUCGCUAGGGACGAAGCUUUUUGUGACGGUACCUAGAUAAGAAGCACCGGCUAACUACGUGCCAGCCGCCGCAGUAA